CUUUUUCCAAACUACUGCUGCAGCUUCUCUCCAAGGUUUGAGGAAAGGCACACCAACUACAAUGUUCCUGAAACUGGGGCUCAAAAGCCAAGGUAUUCACCUUAUACUUCUUCAACCGUCUGCUAAAAAUUACCUCAAGGAAACAGGUUUGAGAUCAAAGCAGGAGGCUGGAUAGAAAUAGGUUAUGGAAACUACCCUUGUAUCUUUUAACCCGAGCAUGAUUGAUAGCUUUAUUUAAUUGCUAAAGGUUCCCUUUGAUGUCUUCAGUCUCUGGGGGCGGUGGGAAGGGUUGAUUAUCCAGACAGAGAUAUCUAUUUUGUGGCUUUUUGCCAAUUCAGCUAUUCUUCCUGUUUCCCUAUACUGUAGCCUUUGUAGAGGUGAGCAACUGAGAAUUCUGGGAGCGUUCAGUCUCACACACAAACUUUCCAUAAAUGUGCUGAAUCUGUUAGGAAA